CCUGCGGGUUGUAAAGCACUUUUAGUGGGGACAAAAAGCUACGGACUAAUAUUCUGUGGUCUUGACUUUAACCCAAAGAAAAAGCACCGGCUAACUCUGGUGC
rnacentral:rRNA from 1 species